rnacentral:rRNA from 1 species
UACGGAGGGGGCUAGCGUUGUUCGGAAAUUACUGGGCGUAAAGGCGCAACGUAGGCGGCUUUGUAAGUUUAGAGGUGAAAGCCCGGGGCUCAACUCCGGAAACUUGGCCUUUAAGACGUGCAUCGCUAGAAUUGUGGAGAGGUAAGUGGAAGGUUCCGAAGUGUAGAGGUGAAAUUCGUAGAUAUUCGGAAGAACACCGAGUGGCGAAGGCGACUUACUGGACACCAGUAUUGAACGCUGAGGUGCGAAAGCGUGGGGAGCAAACAGGGAUUAAGAAA